AGAGUUUGAUCCUGGCUCAGGAUGAACGCUAGCGGGAGGCUUAACACAUGCAAGUCGAGGGGCAGCACGAGAUAGCAAUAUUUUGGUGGCGACCGGCGCACGGGUGAGUAACGCGUAUGCAACCUACCCUGUACAGGGGGAUAACCCGGAGAAAUUCGGACUAAUACCCCAUAAAGAUAUGAAGAGGCAUCUUUUUAUAUUUAAAGUUCCGGCGGUACGGGAUGGGCAUGCGUAACAUUAGCUAGUUGGCAGGGUAACGGCCUACCAAGGCUACGAUGUUUAGGGGACCUGAGAGGGUGAUCCCCCACACUGGUACUGAGACACGGACCAGACUCCUACGGGAGGCAGCAGUGGGGAAUAUUGGGCAAUGGAGGCAACUCUGACCCAGCAACGCCGCGUGA
rnacentral:rRNA from 1 species